rnacentral:rRNA from 1 species
GUGGGGAAUAUUGGACAAUGGGCGCAAGCCUGAUCCAGCCAUGCCGCGUGAGUGAUGAAGGCCUUAGGGUUGUAAAGCUCUUUCAGUGGGGACGAUAAUGACGGUACCCACAGAAGAAGCCCCGGCUAACUCCGUGCCAGCAGCCGCGGUAAUACGGAGGGGGCUAGCGUUGUUCGGAAUUACUGGGCGUAAAGCGCACGUAGGCGGACUGGAAAGUCAGGGGUGAAAUCCCGGGGCUCAACCCCGGAACUGCCUUUGAAACUCCCAGUCUUGAGGUCGAGAGAGGUGAGUGGAAUUCCGAGUGUAGAGGUGAAAUUCGUAGAUAUUCGGAGGAACACCAGUGGCGAAGGCGGCUCACUGGCUCGAUACUGACGCUGAGGUGCGAAAGCGUGGGGAGCAAACAGGAUUAGAUACCCGUGUAGUCC